rnacentral:rRNA from 1 species
UACGUAGGGCGCAAGCGUUGUCCGGAAUUAUUGGGCGUAAAGGGCUCGUAGGCGGUCCGUCGCGUCGGGAGUGAAAACUCGGGGCUCAACCCCGAGCCUGCUUUCGAUACGGGCAGACUGGAGUACUGCAGGGGAGACUGGAAUUCCUGGUGUAGCGGUGGAAUGCGCAGAUAUCAGGAGGAACACCGGUGGCGAAGGCGGGUCUCUGGGCAGCAACUGACGCUGGGGAGCGAAAGCGUGGGGAGCGAACAGG